rnacentral:rRNA from 1 species
AAAUUGAAGAGUUUGAUCAUGGCUCAGAUUGAACGCUGGCGGCAGGCCUAACACAUGCAAGUCGAACGGUAACAGGAAGCAGCUUGCUGCUUUGCUGACGAGUGGCGGACGGGUGAGUAAUGUCUGGGAAACUGCCUGAUGGAGGGGGAUAACUACUGGAAACGGUGGCUAAUACCGCAUAACGUCGCAAGACCAAAGAGGGGGACCUUCGGGCCUCUUGCCAUCAGAUGUGCCCAGAUGGGAUUAGCUGGUUGGUGAGGUAACGGCUCACCAAGGCGACGAUCCCUAGCUGGUCUGAGAGGAUGACCAGCCACACUGGAACUGAGACACGGUCCAGACUCCUACGGGAGGCAGCAGUGGGGAAUAUUGCACAAUGGGCGCAAGCCUGAUGCAGCCAUGCCGCGUGUAUGAAGAAGGCCUUCGGGUUGUAAAGUACUUUCAGCGGGGAGGAAGGUGUUGUGGUUAAUAACCACAGCAAUUGACGUUACCCGCAGAAGAAGCACCGGCUAACUCCGUGCCAGCAGCCGCGGUAAUACGGAGGGUGCAAGCGUUAAUCGGAAUUACUGGGCGUAAAGCGCACGCAGGCGGUCUGUCAAGUCGGAUGUGAAAUCCCCGGGCUCAACCUGGGAACUGCAUUCGAAACUGGCAGGCUUGAGUCUUGUAGAGGGGGGUAGAAUUCCAGGUGUAGCGGUGAAAUGCGUAGAGAUCUGGAGGAAUACCGGUGGCGAAGGCGGCCCCCUGGACAAAGACUGACGCUCAGGUGCGAAAGCGUGGGGAGCAAACAGGAUUAGAUACCCUGGUAGUCCACGCCGUAAACGAUGUCUACUUGGAGGUUGUGCCCUUGAGGCGUGGCUUCCGGAGCUAACGCGUUAAGUAGACCGCCUGGGGAGUACGGCCGCAAGGUUAAAACUCAAAUGAAUUGACGGGGGCCCGCACAAGCGGUGGAGCAUGUGGUUUAAUUCGAUGCAACGCGAAGAACCUUACCUGGUCUUGACAUCCACAGAACUUUCCAGAGAUGGAUUGGUGCCUUCGGGAACUGUGAGACAGGUGCUGCAUGGCUGUCGUCAGCUCGUGUUGUGAAAUGUUGGGUUAAGUCCCGCAACGAGCGCAACCCUUAUCCUUUGUUGCCAGCGGUCCGGCCGGGAACUCAAAGGAGACUGCCAGUGAUAAACUGGAGGAAGGUGGGGAUGACGUCAAGUCAUCAUGGCCCUUACGACCAGGGCUACACACGUGCUACAAUGGCGCAUACAAAGAGAAGCGACCUCGCGAGAGCAAGCGGACCUCAUAAAGUGCGUCGUAGUCCGGAUUGGAGUCUGCAACUCGACUCCAUGAAGUCGGAAUCGCUAGUAAUCGUGGAUCAGAAUGCCACGGUGAAUACGUUCCCGGGCCUUGUACACACCGCCCGUCACACCAUGGGAGUGGGUUGCAAAAGAAGUAGGUAGCUUAACCUUCGGGAGGGCGCUUACCACUUUGUGAUUCAUGACUGGGGUGAAGUCGUAACAAGGUAACCGUAGGGGAACCUGCGGUUGGAUCACCUCCUUA